CACGGUCCAUACUCCUACGGGAGGCCGCAGUCGAGAAUCUUCCGCAAUGGACGAAAGUCUGACGGAGCGACGCCGCGUGGUGGAUGAAGUCUUUCGGGACGUAAACACCUUUUAUGAGGGAGGAAGUUUAUUGACGUUACCUCAUGAAUAAGGGGCUCCCAAUUCUGUGCCAGCAGGAGCGGUAAUACAGAAGCCUCGAGCGUUACCCGGAUUCACUGGGCGUAAAGGGUGCGUAGGCGGAUAUAUUAGUCAGAUGUUAAAUCUUCACGGCUCAACCGGAAGGCCGCAUUUGAAACGGUAUAUCUAGAAGAAGUCAGAGGUGUACGGAACUCAAGGUGUAGGGGUGAAAUCCGUUGAUAUCUUGGGGAACACCAAAUGCGAAGGCAGUACACUGGGACUUUCUUGACGCUGAGGCACGAAAGCGUGGGUAGCGAACGGGAUUAGAUACCCCGGUAGUCCACGCCCUAAACGCUGUCUGCUAGCUUUUGAGGGAAUCGACCCCCCCAGAGGCGUAGGUAACCCGUUAAGCAGACCGCCUGGGUAGUACGAGCGCAAGCUUAAAACUCAAAGGAAUAGACGGGGGCUCGCACAAGCGGUGGAGCGCGGGGCUUAAUUCGUCGCUAAGCGAAAAACCUUACCGAGGCUAGAAACCAUACUGCACGCCUCCCGAAAGGGAGGAAGUCUUCGAGAGUGUAUGGCAGGUGAUGCAUGGCCGUCGUCAGUUCGUGGCUUGAGCUGUUCCCUUAAGUGGGGAAACGAACGCAACCCUCGUUGCCUGUUACAUGUGUCAGGCGAGACUGCUCCCUCACGGGAGAGGAAGGUGAGGAUGACGCCAGGUCAGCAUGUCCCUUGAUGCCUCGGGCUGCACCCACGCUACAAUGGAACGCACAACGGGACGCAAUACCGUAAGGUGGAGCAAAUCCUUAUAAAACGUUCCUCAGUUCGGAUUGUGGUCUGCAACUCGACCACAUGAAGUCGGAAUCGCUAGUAAUCGCGAAUCAGCAUGUCGCGGUGAAUACGUUCCCGAGCCUUGUACUCACCGCCCGUCAAGUCAGGGGAGUCGGGAGUGCCCGAAGUCCGUAUCUA
rnacentral:rRNA from 1 species